rnacentral:rRNA from 1 species
AACUCUCAACGACGGAUAUCUUGGCUCUCGCAACGAUGAAGACCGCAGCGAAGUGCGAUACGUGAGUGUGAAAUUGCAAGAAUUUCCGAUGAAACACAUCAGAAAUUUUUCCGAACGCAUAUUGCGCUCAAUGGCCUCGGCUAAGUAGCAUGUCUGCCUCGCGUCG